rnacentral:misc_RNA from 1 species
AUUUACAAUUGCAUGCAUCAAGAAUGUAGGAAAAGAUGACAAAUUUUGUGAUGCCAACAGGUGGAACAUCCAACUUACAAGAGCAUGUCUCUUUCUUUUCUCUGUAUUUUUCAUUUUUCUGAAAGCUCCUGUCCCCUUGUUUUUGGUCUGUUAGAGGCCUCCUCUGCCCCAUCCAGGCGGAAGAGGCCUCCUUCUUCUUCUGCCUAAUAGUGGGUCUCCCUCUCCUUGCUGGGUGAAUUGUUAAUAUUAUUUUGUUGGUUUGUUAGAUGCAGAUCUGGGCUUCAAUGUGAGGGAUGUGAGGUUUGAUCUGCUGAUUAGUGCGUCUUCCCAGCGUUGCCAUUCCAACUUUCAUUAUGUCAUGGGUGGGUUUUGCGAGUCUCAUUCUCAUGAUAAGAUGGUGCUGGGUUCUCCUUUGUACUACAGUUCUUGGUGCUG